rnacentral:tRNA from 1 species
AGUAAGAUGCCUGACAAAAGGUUCAUCUUGAUAGGAUGAUUAAUGUAUAAAUUAUAUACUCUUACUU